rnacentral:rRNA from 1 species
UACGAAGGGGGCUAGCGUUGCUCGGAAUCAUUGGGCGUAAAGCGCGCGUAGGUGGCUUCGUAAGUCCGUUGUGAAAGUCAAAAAGCUCAACCUUUGAAAGCCGAUGGAUACUGUGAAGCUAGAGUACGGAAGAGGCGAGUGGAAUUCCUGGUGUAGCGGUGGAAUGCGCAGAUAUCAGGAGGAACACCGAUGGCGAAGGCAGCAAACUGGUCCAUAUCUGACGCUGAGGCGCGAAAGCGUGGGUAGCAAACAGG